UUUCCACAAUAAGAUUGCUCAAAUCCAGGGCAACAUCUUUUGCUGAUGGACUGAGGAGGGGGUUAAAGAAUGAUUUAGAGUGAAUUCCAGAAAGAAUAAUCUGAUCCCCCUGGAGGAGGACACAGGAUCUGGAUCAGAUGGGCUGUGGAGCCCGGGGAGGAAAUUACUGGUCGUAUACCUUGACCAUUCAUGGAAGAGACUCCUAUCUGAUAAGCUCGCCAGCUGCUGGGAUGGUCUGCUCCCCUCCAAUGCUGGGUAUGAAUGCCUACACCUCCAUGAACCGCACCACCAGGCGACUGCAUCACUCUCCCAGCAUAGUUUCCUUCAGACAAUCCUCUUCCUUAGAAGGAUCCUCAUUGCUUUCCCUUCAUGAGCACUCAAGACAGCAUCAAGUAUUGAUGAGAUGGGGAAAAGGCAGGUUGAUGUUUCCUGAUGUAAGCUGGAAACGCCAUGUAAGGUGGAGAUGAUGUGGGACGAAAGCGAGAGGAGCCUGAAGGCUCUGUACAGUCCACGUGUGGAGGCCUUGAUGUGGACAGAGUGGUUUCUGCCUGGGAAGAAUAGAAGCUCUGGAUUAUUGUGAAGAAGAGAGAGAAGAAAUGUUGAAUUUUUUAUCUGGGCAACAAACUAGGGGGAAUGAGACACCUGGCAGAUUAGAGAGAAGUGAGGUAAACUUUGUGGAAAUAGGUGGCUGGGUUUCUGUUUCCUCCCUGAAGGAUGGAAAGCAUUUCAAAGGGAGAAAAGAGCUCCAUACGUGGCAAAUCAUUCUCCCAACAAGAGGUCUGCUUCCCGUUGCUGAGAAAGCUGAGUAAUGGGACUGAGUGUAUAUGCAGUCAAACCAGCAGAGGCUUGUUCCUGAGCUUUGAUUUAGCUAGGCCGAAGAACCCAGAACAAUGGGGCUUUUUGGUAAUGUCUUUUAUUAUUUAUCAGUAUGUAUUGCUUUGAUAACCCAAUACUGUUAUGCUAAUCUUUUACAUAAAAAAGGGAUGUGGCACCU
rnacentral:lncRNA from 1 species